AUUGAACGCUGGCGGCAGGCCUAACACAUGCAAGUCGAGCGGAGCGGCGGACGGGUGCGUAAUGCCUAGGAAUCUGCCUGGUAGUGGGGGAUAACGUCCGGAAACGGGCGCUAAUACCGCAUCCUAUCAGAUGAGCCUAGGUCGGAGUCGCGAGGUGGUGGGGUAAAGGCCUACCAAGGCGACGAUCCGUAACGGGUGGGAGAGGAUGGUCAGUCACACUGGAACUGGGACACGGUCCAGACGCCGCCGGUAGGCAGCAGUGGGUAAUAUUGGACAUUGGGCGAAAGCCUGAUCCAGCUAUGCCGCGUGUGGGAAGAAGGUCUUCGGAUUGUAAAGCACUGUAAGUUGGGAGGCGUUACCUACAGAAGAAGCACCGGCUAACUACGUGCCAGCAGCCGCGGUAAUAC
rnacentral:rRNA from 1 species